rnacentral:rRNA from 1 species
GACGUAGGGUGCGAGCGUUGUCCGGAAUUAUUGGGCGUAAAGAGCGUGUAGGCGGCCAGGUAGGUCUGCUGUGAAAACUCGAGGCUUAACCUCGAGAUGUCGGCGGAAACCAUCUGGCUAGAGUCCGGAAGAGGAGAAUGGAAUUCCCGGUGUAGCGGUGAAAUGCGCAGAUAUCAGGAAGAACACCCGUGGCGAAGGCGGCUCUCUGGGACGGUACUGACGCUGAGACGCGAAAGCGUGGGGAGCGAACAGG